ensembl:snoRNA
GCUGUUUCGGUGAUGAUAAUUUGGCUCCCUCUACUGAACACCGUGAGGAGAUUGCCUAUGUUACCCAAUUUUUGUCUGAGAUAACAGC